UACGGGGGGGGCAAGCGUUGUUCGGAAUUACUGGGCGUAGAGGGCUCGUAGGCGGCCAACUAAGUCAGACGUGAAAUCCCCAGGCUCAACCUGGGAACUGCGUCUGAUACUGGAUGGCUUGAAUCCGGGAGAGGGAUGCAGAAUUCCAGGUGUAGCGGUGAAAUGCGUAGAUAUCUGGAGGAAUACCGGUGGCGAAGGCGGCAUCCUGGACCGGCAUUGACGCUGAGGAGCGAAAGCUAGGGGAGCAAACGGG
rnacentral:rRNA from 1 species